UGAUCCAAUCCCAUCCCGAGUCAGCAGAAGACCUGCAGGAAAAGUGCACAGAGUUAAACCAGGCCUGGAGCAGCCUGGGGAAACGUGCAGAUCAGCGCAAGGCAAAGUUGGGUGACUCCCACGACCUGCAGCGCUUCCUUAGCGAUUUCCGGGACCUCAUGUCUUGGAUCAAUGGAAUACGGGGGUUGGUGUCCUCAGAUGAGCUAGCCAAGGAUGUCACCGGAGCUGAGGCGUUGCUGGAGCGACACCAGGAACACCGGACAGAAAUCGAUGCCAGGGCUGGCACUUUCCAGGCAUUUGAGCAGUUUGGACAGCAGCUGUUGGCUCACGGACACUAUGCCAGCCCUGAGAUCAAGCAGAAACUUGAUAUUCUUGACCAGGAGCGUGCAGACCUGGAGAAGGCCUGGGUUCAGCGCAGGAUGAUGCUGGAUCAGUGCCUUGAACUGCAGGUAUGUGUGCUCCUGGUUUCUGACCAAGUGUUUCCUUGCUGAAGGGCCUCAUUUUCUCACCUGCCUCUUGCCGUCUUUAGCUGUUCCAUCGGGACUGUGAGCAAGCUGAGAACUGGAUGGCUGCCCGGGAGG
rnacentral:sRNA from 1 species